rnacentral:rRNA from 1 species
UAGGGAAUCUUCGGCAAUGGGGGGAACCCUGACCGAGCAACGCCGCGUGAGUGAAGAAGGUCUUCGGAUCGUAAAGCUCUGUUGUUAAGGAAGAACGAGUGUGAGAAUGGAAAGUUCAUACUGUGACGGUACUUAACCAGAAAGGGACGGCUAACUACGUGCCAGCAGCCGCGGUAAUACGUAGGUCCCGAGCGUUGUCCGGAUUUAUUGGGCGUAAAGCGAGCGCAGGCGGUUAGAUAAGUCUGAAGUUAAAGGCAGUGGCUCAACCAUUGUAGGCUUUGGAAACUGUUUAACUUGAGUGGAGAAGGGGAGAGUGGAAUUCCAUGUGUAGCGGUGAAAUGCGUAGAUAUAUGGAGGAACACCGGUGGCGAGAGCGGCUCUCUGGUCUGUAACUGACGCUGAGGUUCAAAAGCGUGGGGAGCGAACAGG